rnacentral:rRNA from 1 species
GGUUGUCACGCCAGUGGCACUGCCCGGUAGCUAAGUUCGGAAUCGAUAACCGCUGAAAGCAUCUAAGCGGGAAGCGAGCCCUGAGAUGAGUCAUCCCUGACCCCUUGAGGGUCCUAAAGGGCCGUUGGAGACCACAACGUUGAUAGGUGGGGUGUGUAAGCGCGGCGACGUGUUGAGCUAACCCAUACUAAUUACCCGUGAGGCUUAACCAUACAACACCCAAGAAGUGUUCUG